GAUGAACGCUGACAGAAUGCUUAACACAUGCAAGUCGAUUCAAGUUACCUUCGGGUAAUGAGGAUGGCGGACGGGUGAGUAACGCGUAAGGAACUUGCCUCUUGGUCUGGGACAACUGUUGGAAACGACAGCUAAUACCGGAUAUUAUGAGAUUCUCGCAUGGGAAACUUAUGAAAGCUAUAUGCGCCAAGAGAGAGCCUUGCGUUCCAUUAGCUAGUUGGUGGGGUAACGGCCCACCAAGGCGACGAUGGAUAGCCGGCCUGAGAGGGUGAACGGCCACAAGGGGACUGAGACACGGCCCUUACUCCUACGGGAGGCAGCAGUGGGGAAUAUUGGACAAUGGACCAAAAGUCUGAUCCAGCAAUUCUGUGUGCACGAUGAAGGUCUUCGGAUUGUAAAGUGCUUUCAGUUGGGAAGAAGCAAGUGACGGUACCAACAGAAGAAGCGACGGCUAAAUACGUGCCAGCAGCCGCGGUAAUACGUAUGUCGCAAGCGUUAUCCGGAUUUAUUGGGCGUAAAGCGCGUCUAGGCGGAAAAAUAANUCUGAUGUUAAAAUGCGGGGCUCAACUCCGUAUUGCGUUGGAAACUGNUUUUCUAGAGUACUG
rnacentral:rRNA from 1 species